rnacentral:lncRNA from 1 species
UCCAAUCCAAUCCCAAGCAGCCCUAUAAAAUGCUACAUUAAAACCAUCUGGUCCUGGGGCAGCAUCUCUCUUCAUGUUCUUUAUAAUUGACCAUAACUCUGCUUUAUCUGGGAUGGAUGCAGCAAAGUCAUCAAAUGAAGUUUCUUCAGUUCUGUUCUGUUGGCUGAAAAGAAAAGGCUUAUGUUGAUGUUGUGCUGUCUGACUUGUGAAUAGAUUGGUGAAAUAGUUUUUGAAACAAG